CCGGCGCACGGGUGAGUAACACGUAUCCAACCUGCCGUCUACUCUUGGACAGCCUUCUGAAAGGAAGAUUAAUACAAGAUGGCAUCAUGAGUCCGCAUGUUCACAUGAUUAAAGGUAUUCCGGUAGACGAUGGGGAUGCGUUCCAUUAGUUUGUUGGCGGGGUAACGGCCCACCAAGACUACGAUGGAUAGGGGUUCUGAGAGGAAGGUCCCCCACAUUGGAACUGAGACACGGUCCAA
rnacentral:rRNA from 1 species